CUUCUAGCUGUCACUCAGGCGAAUGCUGGAAUCUUCUUCACCAUGCAGGAGUAGUAGGUGAAGGAGCCUACACCCAGAGCUGCAGCGGAGCCUGGAUUUUGCAAAUGAUUUAUUGCAGCUUUGGUUCCGUGUUUCACAGAUCAGAAUGCGUCCAAAACCCGCUCCUGCCUGACUGCAAAAGGUGUAGGGAAAUUAAGUAACCUUGAUCAAAAUGAUCGCAGGUCCAGCUAUGGCUCAUGAGUGCUAGCAUUCGGAAAAGCCUUCUCCCUUUCAGGACUACAGACUAUCUUCUUCUCCCUCUGGGGCGUUUCUCACUUCCUGACCUAUUCUAUUCAAACUUUUUUGUCCACUUCUGAAUCAAGGAAUUAACCGUGGUGAACCUCCUUGCAUGGCUUUAUAAUCUCAACAAUAAUGGCUCCUGGCUGUGGGAUAAGGAAGUUUCCAGGGCUGAAGAGUGGCGAAUUCAAAGAGACACCUACCAGGGCGAGUGAGAUGCAGUGCCGGGUGCAGGGGAUGAAAUUCACAGAAGUUAGGCACAGCUCUCCUGUUGGAACCUCACCAAGAGACCUGGGAAAAAGAAAAUCUGCCUGUGUGCUCAGCAACCACCACCAGAAUGCCCAGCGCACGCGGGGAGCAGCGAGGCCUUCCUCCACUGCAGGCUGCAAGGU
rnacentral:lncRNA from 1 species